UGUGACAUACCUACUGUUGCUUCGGCGGGAUUGCCCCGGGCGCCUCGUGUGCCCCGGAUCAGGCGCCCGCCUAGGAAACUUAACUCUUGUUUUAUUUUGGAAUCUUCUGAGUAGUUUUUACAAAUAAAUAAAAACUUUCAACAACGGAUCUCUUGGUUCUGGCAUCGAUGAAGAACGCAGCGAAAUGCGAUAAGUAAUGUGAAUUGCAGAAUUCAGUGAAUCAUCGAAUCUUUGAACGCACAUUGCGCCCGCCAGUAUUCUGGCGGGCAUGCCUGUCUGAGCGUCAUUUCAACCCUCAUGCCCCUAGGGCGUGGUGUUGGGGAUCGGCCAAAGCCCGCGAGGGACGGCCGGCCCCUAAAUCUAGUGGCGGACCCGUCGUGGCCUCCUCUGCGAAGUAGUGAUAUUCCGCAUCGGAGAGCGAUGAGCCCCUGCCGUUAAACCCCCAACUUUCUAAGGUUGACCUCAGAUCAGGUAGGAAUACCCGCUGAACUUAAGCAUAUCAAU
rnacentral:rRNA from 1 species